CUCCUCUCCUCUCUCCUUUCUCCAAUAUCAAUUCAAAUGCCACCAUUUAACUGCCAUCUCUCUCUUUCUCUCCCUCUCUCUUUUCCCUCUUCCUGUCUCUCUGUCGAGCUACACGUCAUUCCACCCUUUGCCCUCUGGACCUGUCUGACUCGUCCUGAUGCCCAACUUCUGGCUGGAGAUCUCAUCGCUCGGAUCCACCGUCUGCUCUAUGGGAUGCGUUUGGAGACUGGAGUUGGUCAAACACUACUAUGAAGUCGGUCUUGGCCUCGGCGGACGUCGGCAGCUGUUUCUCGGAGGUCUCGACUCAACGCUCAAUAGUCAAGGAAUUGAACAAAUCUGCCUGCAAUUAACUAACUGGACUCCACAUUAACUUAAAGACAGUAACUGUUAUACUGGACUGCUGCCUACACAGCAUGUAAUCACCCAUAUGAGGAUGGGUUCCCUGUUGAGUCUGGUUCCUCUCAAGGUUUCUUCCUGUUGCCUUCUCAGGGAGUUUUUCCUUGCCACCGUCGCCCUCGGCUUGCUCAUCAGGGACAAUCUGAUUUCAUGAUUCAUACACAUUCACUGUUCAUGUACUGUUCUUUGGUUGUGUAAAGCUGCUUUGUGACAAUGUCAAUUGUAAAAAGCGCUCUACAAAUAAAAUUGAAUUGAAUUGAAUUGAAUUUCAUGUCAUUAACUUUGUGUCUUCUCUCUCCUGUAGUUGUGUUUCCUCCUCUCUUUACUUUUCUGCAGGUAUCCUCGACCUGCAGCUUUACAUCUCCAGAAUCCAGUUCACCUGCCCAAUGUUCUUGCUGCUUGUUGUUGUCUUAUUGCCUGCUGUUCUUUUCUGCAGGUAUCCUCGGCCUGGAGCUGUACAUCUCCAGAAUCCAGUUCAUCUGCCCAAUGUUCUUGCUGCUUGUUGUUGUCUUAUUGCCUGCUGUUCUUUUCUCUCUUCUCUUUCCACUCACCCCAACCGGUCGAGGCAGAUGGCCGCCCACUAUGAGCCUGGUUCUACUAAAGGUUUCUUCCUCUAAAGGGAGUUUUUCCUCUCCACUGUUGCCUAAAGUUUGCUCAAAUGGGAUUGUUGGGUUUUCUCUAUAAUUUUUUGUAUAAAUAUUUUCUGUAAGGUCUUAAACCUUAAACACUGUAAAGUGCCUUGAGAUAACUUCUGUUGUAAAUUGGCGCUAUACAAAUAAAACUCAAUUGAAU
rnacentral:lncRNA from 1 species